rnacentral:ncRNA from 2 species
GAUUAGUGUAAUUCCCGGCAAUAAGGACAGGGAAGCUUCCACCGGCCAACCGUAAAUUGGCUGUCACCACUUCUC